GAGAUCCCUCGUCUUCUUCGACAACAAUCAGACACCAACCCAUGAACUUCCCACCAUUUCCCACCGCCGACGAGCCUCUAAUCCCCAAACCUAGCCGCAUCUAUAAAUCCGCCAUGUCUACCUUCUUCCUCUUACCUUACCAACACUUAGCCGCAUCUAUAAAUCCGCCAUGUCUACCUUCUUCCUCUUACCUUCAUCAUCCAACGAACCCAACAACAGAAGAAAGGGGAAGAAACCAAACCCUUUCACCCAAACGACGUCGUCCUUUCGCAGCCUCGGCUGCACCUCCUCCGCCUCUCAGCGAGUUUCCGUCCCGGCCGUGAUCCACUGCCCCCCCCCCGC
rnacentral:lncRNA from 1 species